ACGAACUAUGCGAACGUUAUUCGGAAUCACUGGGCUUACAGGGUGCGUAGGCGGCCUUUCAAGUCAGGUGUGAAAUCCCCCAGCUCAACUGGGGAACUGCGCUUGAAACUGGAGGGCUGGAGUCAGCUAGAGGUGCACGGAACUUCCGGUGGAGCGGUGAAAUGUGUUGAUAUCGGAAGGAACACCAGAGGCGAAAGCGGUGCACUGGGGCUGAACUGACGCUGAGGCACGAAAGCCAGGGGAGCGAACGGGA
rnacentral:rRNA from 1 species